rnacentral:misc_RNA from 1 species
CCAUCUGCUACCAGAAUUGAUGUUACUUCCUCAGCCAUCUGUUUCUGCCCACAAAGCACUGCCCCAGCGGCCAAAGGGCUAUCAAUUUUCUUGGCCCUGGAAAAAGCAGCCUGUACAUAGCCAGUUUCUCCAGUCCAACUACCUUCUGGCUGUGAUAGUACUGGUACAAUCUUAACACCAGAAGAUUCCCAAUCCUUAAACCUAUCCUGGUAAGCCAUUCUCUUGAGGUUUCUUGCCCCAUAAUACAGCCUCACAUCAGAUCUUCUAUCAGCACUAAACCCAGAUUCAAUGAGAGACCGAAUUGGACUGAUUCCAGAUCCCGUGGCAAAAAUCAGAACCGUAGAAUACUUCUCCAGCGGCACGAUGCGAUCUAUUUCAAAACCUCUGCCCAUGACUUGGCUCAAUUCGACCACAUCUCCUUUCCUAAGACCGCACAACAGCU